UACAGAUCAGUUAAGCCAGGUAACCUCAAUCGGAGAAUGCAAUGAGGAAAAAUCCUCCUCAAGUCCUACAAAUCUGCAGAACUACAAUAACCAGCUGCAGUUUCAAAAUCAGAACCAGGCUCAAUUGCAUGCACAAAGCAGUCUCUGGCCUGUGCCCUGCCCAGCCACUCUUGGAACCUCCUGUUCUGCACCCCCAGCAAAUUAUCAUGCCCCAAGCUGAUUCUAAUACCCUAAAUGGCUCACUUCCUUUCCUAGAUACUGAUUAUGAAUGGAUAUCAAACCCUUCAUCUUGCACACCUCUCCCUGGGGUGUUUGGAUCACCAGGGUCUUUGUCAAUAUUUGGGUUGCAAGAACAAUCAGCUAUUCUCUCAGAUGCAAUCAACC
rnacentral:misc_RNA from 1 species